UCUGGGUUGGCCGAGUGGUUAAGGCGUUGGACUUAAGUUCAAAUGGACAAGUGUCCGCUUGGGUUCGAACCCCACACCCAGUA
rfam:Ciona savignyi cont_59294, whole genome shotgun sequence.